GUGCUCGCUUCUGCAGUACAUACACUAAAAUUGGAAGAUUAGCAUGGCCCCCAUGCAAAGAGGACAUGCAAAUUUGUGAUGUGUUCCAUAUUUUU
rnacentral:snRNA from 1 species